GAUGAACGCUAGCGACAGGCUUAACACAUGCAAGUCGAGGGGCAGCACAGGUAGCAAUACCGGGUGGCGACCGGCGCACGGGUGAGUAACGCGUAUGCAACUUACCUAUCAGAGGGGGAUAACCCGGCGAAAGUCGGACUAAUACCGCAUGAAGCAGGGGUCCCGCAUGGGGAUAUUUGCUAAAGAUUCAUCGCUGAUAGAUAGGCAUGCGUUCCAUUAGGCAGUCGGCGGGGUAACGGCCCACCAAACCGACGAUGGAUAGGGGUUCUGAGAGGAAGGUCCCCCACAUUGGUACUGAGACACGGACCAAACUCCUACGGGAGGCAGCAGUGAGGAAUAUUGGUCAAUGGCCGAGAGGCUGAACCAGCCAAGUCGCGUGAGGGAUGAAGGUUCUAUGGAUCGUAAACCUCUUUUAUAAGGGAAUAAAGUGCGGGACGUGUCCCGUUUUGUAUGUACCUUAUGAAUAAGGAUCGGCUAACUCCGUG
rnacentral:rRNA from 1 species